CGCACCUUGACAAUGAGCAAAGAGAUACCUUGUUGGAGAUGUUGUUCUUAGAACAGUCAGGGGCAGCGCAGAUGGCAAUCCUUUGCUCAUUCUAGCUUGAUGCCUAGAUUGGUGGCCAAAGAUGUUUUGUGCCUAGGACUCAUAA